rnacentral:rRNA from 1 species
AUUGAACGCUGGCGGCAUGCUCUACACAUGCAAGUCGAACGGUAACAGGUUAAGCUGACGAGUGGCGAACGGGUGAGUAAUGCAUCGGAACGUGCCCGGUCGUGGGGGAUAACGCAGCGAAAGCUGCGCUAAUACCGCAUACGAUCUGAGGAUGAAAGCGGGGGACCGUAAGGCCUCGAGCGAUCGGAGCGGCCGAUGUCAGAUUAGGUAGUUGGUGGUGUAAAGGCUCACCAAGCCAACGAUCUGUAGCUGGUCUGAGAGGACUACCAGCCACACUGGGACAGAGACACGGCCCAGACUCCUACGGGAGGCAGCAGUGGGGAAUUUUGAAGAAUGGGCGAAAGCCUGAUCCAGCAAUGCCGCGUGAAGGAAGAAGGCCUUCGGGUUGUAAACUGCUUUUGUACGGAGCGAAAAGGUAUCCUCUCAUACAGGGGGCUCAUGACGGUACCGUAAGUAUAAGCACCGGCUAACUACGUGCCAGCCGCCGACGUAA